GACGAACGCUGGAGGCGUGCUUAACACAUGCAAGUCGAACGAUGAAAUGGAGCUUGCUCCAUGGAUUAGUGGCGAACGGGUGAGUAACACGUGAAUAACCUGCCCUUAAUUUUGGAAUAACCCAGGGAAACCUGGGCUAAUACCGGAUAAGUAAACCUGUGGCAUCACAUGGUUUUGGAAAGUUUUUCGAUUAAGGAUGGAUUCGCGGCCUAUCAGCUUGUUGGUGAGGUAAUGGCUCACCAAGGCGACGACGGGUAGCCGGCCUGAGAGGGUGAACGGCCACACUGGGACUGAGACACGGCCCAGACUCCUACGGGAGGCAGCAGUGGGGAAUAUUGCGCAAUGGACGAAAGUCUGACGCAGCGACGCCUCGUGAGGGAUGACGGCCUUCGGGUUGUAAACCUCUUUCAGCAGGGAAGAAGCGAAAGUGACGGUACCUGCAGAAGAAGCACCGGCUAACUACGUGCCAGCCGCCGCCGUAA
rnacentral:rRNA from 1 species